CAUUUUAACAUCAAUAUCAGCAUCACUUAUACUCACACGUAUCCUACAACCUUUUUUGAUUAAUCUACUUUCAACUCUCAAAGACAGGCCUUACUCAGAAUGAAGUAUUUUUUAUCCCUGGCUGUCGUCUGUGUGCUGUUCUCUGCAGCUUAUGGGUUAAAAUGCUACUGUUCUGGCUGUGCCGGCUUAAUAAUGACCUGUCUCCACACCACGGACCACUGUUCAACUUCGAGUAAUGAAACUACCUGUACAAUGGAUUCUAACUGUGGAAAAACAAUCUCAUGUUGUGCGGAAGACCUGUGCAACGGUGCAAAGCAUAUUGGUCCCAGUGUGGUCAUCCUGAUGGCGUCUACAGCUCUCAUCACACUCUUCCUCUGAAGCUCUGUAAAAACCUAAUCUCUCCCUACAACCAACAUCUAUCACCUCUUAAUCAUCAUCGUCACACUCGUCCUCUGACGUUCUGCUCUCUGUCCAUCUUGUGGUCACUCUCUCUCUGAGUCUUCCCCUCUCCCAUGCUCUUUACCUCUGUCUCUCUCGGUCUCUGUCUCACGGCUUCUCCCAGUCUAUCUGUAUAACACAUUAUUGAUUGUAAAACGUAAAACAUGUAUGAUGAAGAGUCUGGCUAAUCUCUGUUUUUUGUUUUUGUUUAAACCAAAUGAAUAAAUAUUUAUUUGAUGUGCA